rnacentral:rRNA from 1 species
CAGCCGCCGCGGUAAUACGGAGGAUCCAAGCGUUAUCCGGAUUUAUUGGGUUUAAAGGGUGCGUAGGCGGCUUAUUAAGUCGGGGGUGAAAGGCGGUAGCUUAACUAUCGGAGUGCCCUUGAUACUGAUGAGCUUGGAUGCAGCUGAGGUAGGCGGAAUGUGACAAGUAGCGGUGAAAUGCAUAGAUAUGUCACAGAACACCGAUUGCGAAGGCAGCUUACUAAAGUGCGAUUGACGCUGAGGCACGAAAGCGUGGGGAUCAAACAAGAUUAGAUACCCCGGUAGUCCCUGUCUCUUAUAA